UGAGAGUGUAUCCAAGUAGUUGCUGGAAAAGUCUAGAGCUUGAGGAAGAAGAAAAAGAGCAUCACGUAGCGGGCAAUAGCCGUAACGCGCUAAAACUCGUGUAGGAAAAUCUUUUAUUUGGGGCCAAUCCAGGAAAGUAGCACCUGAGAGAGACAUAUAAAGGUAGGGUUUAAAAUUCCACAAGAGAGAGAAGAAAAAAAGAGAGGCUUACUUUUGAGCGUGUUCUUGUGGACUUGUUCCUUGUUCUACAGGUUUUGCUCGAUCGAUCGAUCCAUGGGAAAGAGGAGAGUGGAGAUCAAC
rnacentral:lncRNA from 1 species